rnacentral:rRNA from 1 species
AGGACGAACGCUGGCGGCGUGCUUAACACAUGCAAGUCGAGCGGUAAGGCCUUUCGGGGUACACGAGCGGCGAACGGGUGAGUAACACGUGGGUGAUCUGCCCUGCACUCUGGGAUAAGCCUGGGAAACUGGGUCUAAUACCGGAUAUGACCUGCUCUCGCAUGGGGGGUGGGUGGAAAGAUUUAUCGGUGCAGGAUGGGCCCGCGGCCUAUCAGCUUGUUGGUGGGGUAAUGGCCUACCAAGGCGACGACGGGUAGCCGACCUGAGAGGGUGACCGGCCACACUGGGACUGAGACACGGCCCAGACUCCUACGGGAGGCAGCAGUGGGGAAUAUUGCACAAUGGGCGAAAGCCUGAUGCAGCGACGCCGCGUGAGGAUGAAGGCCUUGGGUUCGUAAACCUCUUUCAGCGAGGACGAAGCGCAAGUGACGGUACCUGCAAGAAGAAGCAACCGGCUAACUACGUGCCAGCAAGCCGC